GACGUAGGGGGCGAGCGUUGUCCGGAUUUAUUGGGCGUAAAGAGCGUGUAGGCGGUCCGGUAAGUCCGCUGUGAAAGUCGGGGGCUCAACCCUCGAAUGCCGGUGGAUACUGUCGGGCUAGAGUGCGGAAGAGGCGAGUGGAAUUCCUGGUGUAGCGGUGAAAUGCGCAGAUAUCAGGAGGAACACCUAUUGCGAAGGCAGCUCGCUGGGACGUAACUGACGCUGAGACGCGAAAGCGUGGGGAGCAAACAGG
rnacentral:rRNA from 1 species